ACGUAGGAUCCGAGCGUUAUCCGGAUUUAUUGGGUUUAAAGGGUGCGUCGGCGGUUUUAUAAGUCAGUGGUGAAAAGCAUGGGCUCAACCUGUGGAGUGCCAUUGAUACUGUAAGACUGGAAUACGGAUGCUGUGGGAGGAAUGUGUAGUGUAGCGGGGAAAUGCAUAGAUAUUACACAGAACACCGAUUGCGAAGGCAUCUCACAAAGCCGUUACUGACGCUAAUGCACGAAAGCGUGGGGAUAAAUCAG
rnacentral:rRNA from 1 species